rnacentral:rRNA from 1 species
AUUGAACGCUGGCGGCAUGCCUUACACAUGCAAGUCGAACGGCAGCGCGGGAGCAAUCCUGGCGGCGAGUGGCGAACGGGCGAGUAAUACAUCGGAACGUGCCCAAUCGUGGGGGAUAACGCAGCGAAAGCUGUGCUAAUACCGCAUACGAUCUACGGAUGAAAGCAGGGGAUCGCAAGACCUUGCGCGAAUGGAGCGGCCGAUGGCAGAUUAGGUAGUUGGUGAGGUAAAGGCUCACCAAGCCUUCGAUCUGUAGCUGGUCUGAGAGGACGACCAGCCACACUGGGACUGAGACACGGCCCAGACUCCUACGGGAGGCAGCAGUGGGGAAUUUUGGACAAUGGGCGAAAGCCUGAUCCAGCCAUGCCGCGUGCAGGAUGAAGGCCUUCGGGUUGUAAACUGCUUUUGUACGGAACGAAACGGUCUUUUCUAAUAAAGAAGGCUAAUGACGGUACCGUAAGAAUAAGCACCGGCUAACUACGUG